AUGAAUAACAACAAUUGCGCCAUCAUGUCGUGGAACGUCAGAGGUUUAAACUCUGCGGCGAAGAGGGAAGCCAUUAGAGAGGUAGCAGCCGCGCAUAGAUUAGCAAUUCUCUGUGUCCAGGAAACAAAAAUAGAAACUUGGGAUCAAACUUUAGUCCGCGAUGUGGGAGGUAGUUGGCUAGGCGACUGUGUAGUUCUUCCGGCGAUCGCUACCAGAGGAGGCGUCGCGAUCUUCUGGAACAGCAAGCUGGUCUGUUCCUAGGCGAUCGGGCAAUUCUCCAUCACGGCAAAAGAUACUGUAGUCAGCUCCUCCUCUAGUUUUGUUCUCACUACGGUGUAUGGCCCUUCCGAUGGCACAAAUAAAGAAGACUUCAUCAACGAAUUAGUUAGCGCCGCUCCAGGCACACCAUGGCUGAUAUAUGGUGAUUUCAAUGUGAUAUACGAGGCUAGGGACAAGAACAACGUCAAUCUCAAUAGGAGAUUGAUGAGUAGAUAUAGAACGGCGAUUGACGCGGUGGCACUGAGAGAAAUCAAAUGC
rnacentral:rRNA from 1 species